CACAAGAUACUUCCUUUACCCUCUAAGGGAACACAUUCACACACAUCCUAAAUAAGGAUGUGACCACUGCUCAGGGACAUUAUUCUGUCUACAAUAACCCCCCCCCCCCCAACUAGUGUGAUCUUGAUGAAGCCAUCAACUCUCUGAAUCUGCCUCAUCUUAUACAUAAGGAAGAAUUAGACUAAAUCCUGUCAUUUAUUUCUAAAAUUCUGCAGUUCUGUAACAAAGCACAAUGACACACCGAUGAGAUGUGAAGACAAGCCAAGUGCCAUUUCUCUGCCUAAGGGUCCCUGAGGAAGCCACACAGCAAGGAGGUGGAAAGGAGGGCAGGAGAAUGGACCAAAAGGAUCUGGAAAUGUGGUUUCCUUUUUGUGGUGACCCAAGAGCUACCUGACAACUGUGCUGUCCUCUGAAAAGAAACCUCCAAAACCAGAAGCCAAAAUAAGUCUUUGCUCCUUCACAUUGUAUUGUUCGGGUAUUAUGUCAUAGAGAGAAAAAAAAUGACCAACACAGCUGGAGAUACAAACUUGGAAGUCAGCAUGGAAUAUGUUUAAAGAACUUGCCAGUCUGCAUGAUCUGAUCUAAGAGUGUCCCCAUCAGAGGAAGGGGAAGAUAAAGAACAAAGCCACAGGAGUGGAGUGGAGUCUCCUCUAGGCAUGGGCACUAGCCAGUAUAGCAGAGAGACAAGAAGCUAAGGGGCAUCCCAAAGACCAGGCAACCUGGGUUUCUAGAAAGAAGCCUGGUCAGAGUGUGACAGGCAACUGACAACAGUGGCGUUUGAGGACUCCAUUGGAUUGGCCACAAGGGACUUAGCAGCCAAGCUCUGGGCUAUUCUGGUGCAAAGCUCUGCCUAGGCGCAUUCUGGAAGAGAUGAAUGGAGCAGCAACAGGGGCAGCCCGUAGGCAAUCCUCUCACAGAAGAGUCUUGAAAGAGAAUCAGAGAUGAUAAGCAACGUAUGGAGGGGGAUUUCAUCAAAGAGAGGGACACUGUGGAUGGAAGACAUUGCAGCAAGCUGUGGCUGCAGUGCAUGGUCUAGAAGAGAGGGACAACUCAGCCACACAGAAGGGACAGGAAGAACUGGGGAGGAGAGGACUGGGAGAGAGGGGAGGAGAUGGUCACUUGGCCACGGACAUGGGAGACUCAAAGCCCUCUGGGAAUUGGAACGUUGGGCCCACUUCCUCAUACUUUGGAAGACUCUGAGGAGGACACGUGGGCAAAGUUAAACUGACAACACCGAGCUUCAGAGGAAAAUAAAAGGAUAAACAAAACUGGAAGUUGGGGCCUUUAAGACAGAGGAUGACUGAAAUGCCUUCCCCGCCGGGAGUACAAGAGACGCUGUGCACAGGGAGCUGCAUCUUUAGUACAUUCGAAUUGUCAGUCCUUUAACUGUGACACUUAGCACCAUCUUAUGCAAAAACAGUCGGCUUAGCUAUGUUUCUCAUCACUGCAGGCGCAGGGCAGCUGUGCCCAAGAAGCCCAUGCUGUCUCCUCAGAGAAAGCCUAUCCCUGCUCACCCAGGCCUGAGGUACCUACAGAAUGAGGAUGCACAACUGCCAGAAGACGCGUGUUAAAAGGAUGGAUGGACACGUCUCCAGAAGACUUGCAUUUGGUUCAAGUUCAUCUCUGAUGACUUGAUUGGCAGCUUCCAAACACAUUUAUGAAGAACUCAGCACUGGGCACCGCUCACAGCCACAGCGCUCCUCAGAGGACAGGUGGAGGUCACAAGAAGACACAGCACUUGCUUCUUGUGGUUGUCCGUUUUUUGCUGUUAUAACAAAAUAUCUGAGGCUGGGUAAUAUAUAAAGAAAAGAGGAUUGUUUAGCUCUGUUUUAGAGAUCAAGGGCAUAGUGUCAGCGGGUGGUAUCUGGGGUGACAUCUUCCUAGUGAAUGGCAUCAUGGUAGAAGUUCGUGCAAGAGUAGAAGGUCAUGUGAUGGGACAGGAAGCCAGGGAGAAUUAGGACAGGCCAGCCAUCAUAUUCAUCCACAACCUCCUUAAGAUGCUCAGCCCCAGCUUCCAUGUUGCUAAAGUGUAUAUGGGAGGGGGAGGAAUUGACUUACGCAACUCCCAGUAGGCUCUACCUCCUAAGGGUAUCACUGCAUUAACAUAGCAACACUGGGAAUGAAGCUUCUGACAUAGCAGCCCCAUGGAUACACUCUUACCUUCCCUGGACCAUAUGCCCAUCCAGCCAAACUUUCCCUCUUCACUUUUUAUUCAUCCAAAUUCCGAUUUUCUCACUUAACUUUCACUCUGUGUCUGCUUGGCUUUGCUCCUGACUGUCUCAGGGUCUCUGCAUUUCAGGAGGAUCUGCCUCUUGGAUUGCAGGGCCACGCAGGUGACACACACAUCAGCAUGGUCUUCUGCGAAAACUUCCAGGAGUUGGUAUAGGUUCCCUCUGAAAGCCCCUGAGCCCCUGAGUCCCCCGAAAGAACAGGGGGAGUCUUGGCUGCACAUUUUACCAACUGUUUUCACCUCUGUGGAUCCAGCGCUGUGGCUGUCUCUAACAGCAGCAGCCUCCUCCAUGGCCUGAAGUCUGUGGACAGUAGCUGGCAGACUCUCUAAGUUUCCGGGUGGGAUUUAGGCAAACCCCUCUCCUUUAAGGCUGCCUGUGUGCAGCCCUCCAGCUCCUGGCCUCCCUUGGCUUUUCUCUCCUGCUCUCAUGGCCAUUCUUCUCUCUCCAGCCUGCUCAUCCUUUAUUCCUUGGCUCCGCAUCCCUCUUCAACACAAAUCUUUCCUGUGUGACCUGAGCAGCUGGGGGCUGAGACUCAAGUCCUUCCUCCUCCUGUCCUCUGGGCACCUUAGGGAAGCAUGCUGGGCACCGCUGUACCAUUUAGUGUCUUCCUCUGCUGUGAGAUUAAAUGGCUAAUGCAGAGUGAGGUGUUUAUUAGCACAUUUGUAGCUAGCUCUUCCCGUGGCCAAUGAGCCAUGCCAUCCGCUGCAAUGCCUCUGGGAAACUUUGGGUCUGGGCCCUUUCCAGCUGCCUUCAAUCUUGUUGUGUGUGACUCAGGGAAGCUGUUUUAUUGCCAGGAACCUGCCUCUCUUCUCUUCCACACUGACGCCCAAGUUCAAGAUCACUGGGGCUGUUGACUCUGAAUAACAAACUUGUUUUCUACUACUUAUUUGUACCCAGCUCUUAUUUCUCUGAUUGCAGAGUGUCUGAACUCCUAUUGGCACUUCCUUGCUCCUGUGUGUCCCCAGACCUACUUGGUUCUCUGUCACACACACACACACACACACACACACACACACACACACUCAUCCUAGAAGCAGCAAGUGUAUCUCCAUUUGUAAGCACAAAACCCUUGUGUCCUCCUAGGAACUCAUUUCCAUCUCCAACCCUAAUUCUUUGCCCUUUUAGACCCAGCUAUUAUUGCUUCUAAUUUGCAUUGAAUGGCCCCUUAGCAACCAUCACAAGUGCUUUGGAUACCAGCUCACUUCCAAUGCUGCUGGAUUCACCAGAAUCGAAACUCUUCCAGAGUACAAUUUAACAUGUGAUAAACAGAGUCUCAAGCAGCUCUCACUGCAUCCAGAUGCACGUAUGCCCUCUACCGAAUAAUGGCACAGAACCAAGCUGCUCCGAAGGCACAUCUGGAGUGCAGCAUAUUGUUCGUUGGCCAUUAAAGGAAGAAAACGAAAUCUGAACAGUUUACUGCCCGUGAAAUGCUAUCAGGUCCUAUUAGACACUUUCGAGCUACUACUUCUGGCAGAAUGGACUUGGAGUCGGGGACUUCAGACAGACGAGCAGUGGGUGCAUGAAAAUAGCCAGAGAAAUGUAGACCAAAGCCACAUAAGAUCCCUCUCUCUCCGGUAAAGUGGUUAUUAUAUAAAUAAGUCCAUAAGAUGACAGGUGCUGUAGAGAACGAGAAGAAAGGGGAGCUUUGGGUGUUGAUAGGCAUGUGAAUUUGUACAGCCAUUGCGGACAGCGGUAUGAAGAGCCUUUCCAAAUUUGUAAAAAGAACCAAAGCUGAUGUUGUGAUGCACACUUUAAUCUUAGUUCUCAGAAGGUAGAAGCAGGAGGAUUUCUGUGGGUUUGAGGCUACCCUGGUCUGUAUAGCAAGUUCCAGGCCAGCCAGAGAUUCAUAGUGAGACUCUGUCUAAAAAAGCAGAACAAACAAACAAACAAACAAAAUCAAUAAACCAGGCAUGGUGAAGCACACCUUUAAUCCCAGCUCUUGGGAGGCAGAGGCAGGCAGAUCUCUGAGUUAAAAGCCAGCCUGCUUUACAGAGUGAGCCCAGGACAGCCAGGGUUCUGUUACAAAGAGAAACCCUGUCUCAAAAAACAAAAACCAACAAACAAACAAAAAACAUAGAGCAACAAUCCCACUGCUGGGUAUAUUUGACAUGUAAAUAAUGUUCAUAUUCUGAGAGACAUCAGUGCCCUGCUACUGGAUACACUGUUCACCACAUCUAUAAAAUGGACGCAAAUGGGCUGGGGAUGUAGCCCAGUCAAUAGAGUGCUUGCCUACUGGCAUGCAUAAAGCCCUUGGUUUGAUUGCCAGUACUUCAUAAAGGUAGGGGAGAUGGGAAAUGCCUGAAAUUGGCUCUCAGUGGAUGGAGGCUGGAGGACCCAAAAUUCAAGGUUAUCCUUGACUAAACAGUUUGAGGACAACCUGGACUACAAGAGAGUCCCUGUUGAGGUUGGGGUUGGGGAGGCAGAGACAGAUAGAGACACAGGGAGAGAAAGGGAUUGAGAGAUAGAGAAAGGAUAAGGAAGAAAGAGAAAGAAAGGGGCUGGUGAGAUGGCUCAGUGGUUAAGAG
rnacentral:lncRNA from 1 species